GCUACUGAGUUGCUGUUCGUGCUGCUUCCUCCCUCUUCCCUGCUGCUUGCUUCUUCCUCCCCCUUCCAGCUCCAAUCCAAGCAGCCCGUUGCUGCUUGUUGCUUGCUGCUUGCUUCCUCCUCCCUCUCCCUGCUGCCUGCUUCUUCCUCCCCUUUGGCUCCUUCUGCUACAACUGCAAGGUCACCUACUCUAUAGUCUCUACCCCACCUGGAGGCUGUAGGUCCAAGGGAGCACGAAGAUGAGCUCCUCCUCUGAAGGUGAGCAAUAAGGGACAGAGACAAAAACAACCCUAGUAAGUUUUGGAUAUUUUAAAACCUUCAAUCCUUCCAAAUAUUUGUUUUGUUAUGACCUGGUUAGUAGGUAAUUAUGUUUUAGUUCGCUGGUGGAAUUCCUAUGGUGGCUGCACAUUUGAGCUCCAAAGUCUAGCAAAGAAAAUUAUUAGUCUUUGCUGCUCAGCAUCAGGUUGUGAGCGUAAUUGGAGUGUUUUUUUCCCAUAAAAUCAGCAACCAUAUGGAGGCUGGGAUAAGAACAUGGAGUCAGAUCUCACAGGUAAGUAGCCAACAAACUAGAAAUAUAGUCUUGAUGCUUGAUGUGUAGUAUAUAAAUAUAUAGUAUAUGGUAUAUAUACCAUACAUAUAUGAUAUAUAUACUUAUAUAGUCCUACUAUAUGUUGAACGAUUAUAUGGAUGAUUAGACCGAUCAGGAGUCGAUUAAUCGUCCUGAUCGUUGAUUAAUCGUCCUGAUCGUCCUGAUCGGUGCCAGACCGAUUAGAAACGAUAAGCCGAUCAGAAAACAUUGAGUGAUAGGAACAAAAAUGCAAUUCUACUGUCUAUGUGAGUUUGACUGGUUACAAAAUUGCAUAUAGGCUUUCUUGUAUUAGGAGUUUCCUUCAUAUAAAUCACUUACGCUUUUUCCUUCAUAUAAAUCACUUACGCUUUUGACAAGCAUGUAAGUGUAUCAUUAUUCCUAUUUUGUCCAUUGUUAGAGCUAUAAUACCUUUUAUAUAAAUCACAGUUUCCUACCUUCUAAUGAGCUAUAUCAUUUGCCUCCAAGGUAUGUGUUGACAAGCACAAUGAAAGUUAUUUUCCAAUAUGUCAAUACCAUUUCUGAAGUAAGAAAUAUUUAUUUUUAUUGCAUAGGAUUGAUCUCUGUAACACAUUAUUUGCAUUUGCAAAUGUAGUUCCUUUUUCCUGUGCGAAAACUAGCUCGAGGAAAAGAGAACAUGGUAAAAUAAAUUUAAAUUAAAUUUCGGCGGCGAGCACGUCGAUGGCUUCGACUGCCACCUCUGGACCAAGGUUGACUUCGUCCGAUAGACUACGAGGAAGUUACCACUGUCCGCCCCGUCCACUGGAAUUUCCUCAAUGCCAUAAAUACAGCUAUGUAGAAGAUUACCUCGGUGAUGGAGAUGCCAAUUAGGGUGAUCAUCAGAAUGAUGCAGCCUGCUUAAUUGAGAAUACAUAACCUGAUAUUCUUGUGUUUCCAUGAGUUGAUCUUCAACAAGACGGUGUCGACAUUGACCAGUUCAAGGCAGCAUGAAAGGCCGGUGCGGAAAGAAACUCAUUUAAGUGGUCGCGGCUUAAGAUGAAAAAAGGGGUUCAUCUUCACCAAAACCAGCACCCAUUACGCAGUGCGUGUGUGCUAAUGGAAUUCCAUUCAAGGUGUAGAGCCCCCAGUUGUCUGAAAUGGUAGCAGCCAUAAGUAGAGCACCUAUGGGAUACAAAUGGCUAUCAAGUGAGAAGGUAGGAAUCACUCUUCUAGAUGCAGGCAAGAGAAACGUGGAGCAAGACUGAACGCCAAUUACAAAUACAUGUACUGAUAGUGUUUGGGAUUUGGGAUGCCUAAAUGGUCCAGAAGCUUGCGAUGUCUGGACAUCACCUGAAGCAAGAAGACAACAUUGGUCUUCUAUAAUACACAUUCUUUGAACGGUGAAUGUACAUGACAAGUUUCUGUAAUAUACU